GUGCAGACCUAAGAUGACAAGCCACCUGCCAGUGCUGGAGACAACUGCUAUGCAUGCUGCCGCCUUCUUGUUCAUGUACCUCCCCCUCCCUCAUCCUUCAUGUUUACUUCUUUCACCGAAAUGAAAAUUGGUUAACAACAGAGCAGACGCUUCCUAAACCUCUCAAGAUGCAAAAUUCUGAAGCAAACCAUGCCUCUUGAAUGAAACAUAGACAGCUGAUUCCUGGCCCCGUGCUUCCUUCUGUCUGCGAUGUAGUUCCUGUGCUGUUUAGACGAUUGCUUGCCUCUCAGAUGUCACAGUUGGUGAUAUGUAUGUUUACUGAGCAAUUGCUGUAGCCCCACAUUGCCCGUGACUGGAGAUACUGAAUAUACCAGCAAGCCGCACGAGACGUAUAUAGUACUGAAUCCUCAGCUUUGGCGCAUAGUGGGCUGGCUCUUCAAACCUACUGGUUUAGCCCAUGUAACAAAUGACUGAGGUGGAACCCACAGUGAAAAUACAAUGAUCACUCAGUCUAUUUAGUGCAAUGACUGAAGCAGGCUGAGGGAAACCGCUCAGGUCGUUUUGGUGUGGCCCUGCUGCCUUCUGAGGGAGUGGUGAAUUGGCAAUUACUCUGAUAAAUGUGGCUACUGGAGACCCAUCUCUGUACAUUCAACAAACAUUAAUCAAGAGUCUACAAUGGGCCAGUCCCUACCAAAACCUGAGCCCUUGAGACAGAAAGCUAACAUAACUGUCUUCUGAGAGGCUCCAUCCAGCAGUCAAUGAAAACAGAUACAGAGACCCACACUCAAACAUUAGAUGGAGCUCAAGGAGUCUUAAGGAAGAGUUUGAGGAAGGAUUGAGGGACUCGAAGAGGACACAGACCUCAAAGGAAAACCAACAGAGUCAGCUAACCUGGACACUUGGGGGCUCCCAGAGACUAAAUCACCAAACAAAAGUGAGCAUGGGCUGGGCUAGGCUCCUGCACAUAUGAAGCAGAUGAGCAGCUUGGUCUUCAUGCAGGUCCACCAACAACUAAAGUGGGGGCUGUCCCUGAGCCUGUUGUGUGCCUGUGGACUCCAUACCACUAAAUGGGUAGCCUUGUCUGGCUCAGAGAGAGAGGAUGUGACUAGUCCAGCAGCUAUUUGAUGUGCAGGGGGUGGGGGUAGGGGUCUUGAGGGGUUAGGUGUUUGACACCCAGAGGGGGUUUCACCUUCUCUUUUGAAAAGGGGAAGGCGGAAUAGGAGGAGGGCUCUCCUGGGGAGUACUGGGAGGAGAGGAAGGGCUGAUAUUGUAUUGUAAAGUGAAUAAAUAAGUAAAUUAAAAACAAAUAAAACAAAAUAAUAAAAUUGAGGUCUGUGAUCUAUUUGGAUCUAAGUUUUGUACAAAGUGAUAGAGAUUGGUAUUAUUUUAUUCUUCUGUAUGUGGACAUACAGGUUUUCCAGUGCCAUUUGUUAAAGAUGCUAUCUCUUCUCUCGUGAGGUUUUUCCUCAUUGUCAAAUAUCAGAUGGCUAUAGUUAUGAGAACUCACAUGUGGGUCUUCUAUUAUUCCAUUUAUCUACAUGUAUGGUUUACCCUAGUACCAUAUUGUUUUAUUACUAUGGCAUCUCUGGAACUCUGGGCUAGAAAUUCCGCCAAAAUUAUUCUUUUGGUUCAGGAAUGGCUUGCCUCUCUGGGAUCCUUUCUCAUUUCAUAUGAAUUUUAUUCUGUCAAGAAUGUGGAUAUUUUAAUUAGUGUUUCAUUGAAUCUGUACAUUUCUUUUAGUAGCUUGGCUAUUUUCACAACUAAUUCUACUGACCCAUGAACACAGAAUGGCUUUGUAUUUUCUAGUUUAUUUCUCAAUCCCUUACUUCAAAGAUUUGUAAUUUGCAUUGUAGAGGUUUUUCACCUCCUCAGUUAGUUUUAUUCCAAGAUAUUUUAUUGUCAUUGAUGCUAUUGAAAAUAAAAGUGCAUCUUCAAUGUGUUUGUUAUUGAUAUAUAGAAAGGCUGCUGAUUCUUACAAGAUAGAAAGAUAGAUAGAUAGAUAGAAUUUUUUUCAAGACAGGGUUUCUCUGUGUAGCCAUGGCUGUCCUGGAACUCACUCUGUAGACCAGGCUGGCCUUGAACUCAGAAAUCUGCCUGCCUUGCCUCCCAAGUGCUGGGAUAAAAGGUGUGUGUCACCACUGCCUGGCAUUAUGUAAGUAUUAUUACAAGUACUCUGCAAUUUUGCUGAAAUUGUUGUUUCUAGAAGUUUUAUUCUUUUUUUAAAUUAGGUAUCUUCCUCAUUUACAUUUCCAAUGCUAUCCCAAAAGUCCCCCAUACCCUACCCCCCACCCCCCCUACCCACCCACUCCCACUUUUUGGCCCUGGCAUUCCCCUGUACUGGGGCAUAUAAAGUUUGCAAGUUCAAUGGGCCUCUCUUUCCAGUGAUGGCCGACUAGGNNNNNNNNNNNNNNNNNNNNNNNNNNNNNNNNNNNNNNNNNNNNNNNNNNNNNNNNNNNNNNNNAAGGGGCAAAGUGUCCACACUUUGGUCUUCGUUCUUCUUGAGUUUCAUGUGUUUUGCAAAUUGUAGCUUAUAUUUAUUCUUAAGGACUAUGUAUAAGAAUGUAGGUGGGGGUGUGGUAAGAAAGUAGCUUAGUGAGAGAUCUCUACUCUUGAGCAAGUCCCAGGGUUCAAGUUCAAAAACCAAACAGGAAAAACAAAUCCCUUUGAUUUUCAUCUUUAAAUUUUGGUAUCAAUCAAUCUAGUAUAAAUUUGUCUAUCACAAAAAUGGCUUGAAGCAUUCAUUGUCAAUGAAUUGGCUCUGGAAUUGUGUUUUUGUCUUGAGUUAUAUUUCCCACUUACUAUGGAUAUUAAACAUCUCUGUAUACUAUUAUUAGCUAGUUGUAUUUUGCAUCUGAUCCCCACUCAGUCUUCUGAAGUCCACUUUUUAUUUGAGUGUUAAUCUGUUCAUUAUGCAUCUAAAUGAACUUUCUGAAUAUUAUUGAUUCUAGGCAUUUGUCCACCAGUCAUUUUACAGAUGCAUUCUUCUAGUUAGCAAUUUGUUGUUCUGUGUCCUUUAAUGUGAGUUGAUGACUAAAAAUAUCUUUCUUGUCAAAAUUUCUAUAAGUAGUAUACAGAAAAGAUCAAAAAUAAAAAUAUUAAAUAUCCCACAUGAAAUAUUUAUGUGUAGUUUACUUAGAAAAUGUGAGAACAUAUAUAUCUUUGUGUUUAAUUAGAAUACUACAUCAAUAUUUUAAAGCUACUAUACAAAUAUUAUAAACAUUAAGUACCUUUGUGCAUUUGUAUAGUUAAUGCUAUUCAGUACAUACUCACUUUUGAAACCAGUAAAAAGAGGACUGAAAUAGCAGAAAAUUAAAAAAUUCUAAUAAAAAGGGGGAAAAUUCUUUCUAUACUGAAGUAAGGUGAUAUUAACAUAAGUACUUAGCAUAUAUUUAGAAUAUUUAUUACCAUAUAUAGUGGGGUCACAUGACAUAUUUUAAAAUCUAAAACAUGUAAAUUUUGUUAAUUUAUUAAAAUGCAUAGCUACAGAAAGAUUUUGAAUAUAACACAGUCAUUGCUAUUCAUUAGAAUUUACUAUCCCUGAAUC
rnacentral:lncRNA from 1 species